rnacentral:rRNA from 1 species
UGGGGAAUAUUGCGCAAUGGGGGGAACCCUGACGCAGCCAUGCCGCGUGAAUGAAGAAGGCCUUCGGGUUGUAAAGUUCUUUCGGUAUUGAGGAAGGUUGAUGUGUUAAUAGUACAUCAGAUUGACGUUAAAUACAGAAGAAGCGCCGGCUAACUACGUGCCAGCAGCCGCGGUAAUACGUAGGGUGCAAGCGUUGUCCGGAAUUACUGGGCGUAAAGAGCUCGUAGGUGGUUUGUCACGUCGUCUGUGAAAUUCCACAGCUUAACUGUGGGCGUGCAGGCGAUACGGGCUGACUCGAGUACUGUAGGGGUAACUGGAAUUCCUGGUGUAGCGGUGAAAUGCGCAGAUAUCAGGAGGAACACCGAUGGCGAAGGCAGGUUACUGGGCAGUUACUGACGCUGAGGAGCGAAAGCAUGGGUAGCAAACAGGAUUAGAUACCCUGGUAGUCCAUGCCGUAAACGGUGGGCGCUAGGUGUAGGGGCCUUUUGGGGUUUCUGUGCCGUAGCUAACGCAUUAAGCGCCCCGCCUGGGGAGUACGGCCGCAAGGCUA